rnacentral:rRNA from 1 species
UACGUAGGGUGCAAGCGUUGUCCGGAAUCAUUGGGCGUAAAGAGCGCGCAGGCGGCUUGGCAAGUCGGGUGUGAAAUCCCGGGGCUCAACCCCGGGACUGCAUUCGAUACUGUCAGGCUAGAGGUAGGUAGGGGAGAUCGGAAUUCCUGGUGUAGCGGUGAAAUGCGCAGAUAUCAGGAGGAACACCGGUGGCGAAGGCGGAUCUCUGGGCCUUACCUGACGCUCAGGCGCGAAAGCUAGGGGAGCGAACAGG